CUGGACCUCAGCUCAGGCGUGACUACCCGCUGAAUUUAAGCAUAUCAAUAAGCGGAGGAAAAGAAACCAACAGGGAUUCCCCCAGUAACGGCGAGCGAAGCGGGAAUAGCUCGAGCCUUAAAUCUCCGGCGAACAGCCGGCGAAUUGUAGCCGAGAGAGGCACCUGCGCUCGGUAGUCGGUCGGCCAAAGUUG
rnacentral:rRNA from 1 species